UACGUAGGGCGCAAGCGUUGUCCGGAAUUAUUGGGCGUAAAGAGCUUGUAGGCGGUUUGUCGCGUCUGUCGUGAAAAUCCGGGGCUCAACCCCGGACUUGCGGUGGGUACGGGCAGACUAGAGUGUGGUAGGGGAGACUGGAAUUCCUGGUGUAGCGGUGAAAUGCGCAGAUAUCAGGAGGAACACCGAUGGCGAAGGCAGGUCGCUGGGCCACUACUGACGCUGAGAAGCGAAAGCGUGGGGAGCGAACAGG
rnacentral:rRNA from 1 species